AGUUCGAUUGUAAGCUCAAGAUUGAACAGCAGCAGGAUGCUUUACACAUGCAGAGUCCCGAACAGCAACUGGUUCCCGAUCUCCUGGUGGUGAAAGAGUGGCGAACGGGUGAUAAUGUAUCAGAACGUGCCUAGUAGCGGGGGAUAACUACGCGAAAGCGUAGCUAGCCGCAUACGCCCUUCGAGGAAAGCGGGGAGACCUUCGGGCCUCACACUAUUGGAAGCGGCCGAUAUCCGGAUUAGCUAGUUGGUGGGGUAACUGCUUCCACCGUGACGAUCCGUAACUGGUUUGAGGACGACCAGCCACACUGGGACUGAGACACAGCCCAGACUCCUACGGGAGGCAGCAAUCAGGGAAUUUUGGACAAUGGGGGAAACCCUGAUCCAGCCAUCCCGCGUGUACGAUGAAGGCCUUCAGGUUGUCGCUGCUUUUGGCAGGAAAGAAACGGCACGGGAUACACCCCGUGCAACUGACAGUACCUGCAGAAUAAGCACCGGCCCCAACUACAAUGCCAACAGCCAUGGUAAUACGUAAGUGCAAGCGUUAAUCCGAUUGCUGGAGCAUAAAGCGAUACGCAGGCGGUUCCGGAAGAAGAUGUGAAAUCCCAGAAGCAACUUUGGAACUGCAUUUUUGCAGCAGGCUAGAGUGUGUCAAGGAGGGAGGUGGAAUUCCGCGUGUAGCAGUGAAAUGCUAAUAAAUAUGCGGAGGAACACCGAUGGCGAAAGGCAGCCUCCUGGGGGAUAACACUGACGCUCGUACUGCGCGUAGAACAGAGCAGGAUUAACGAAUACCCUGGUGAUCCGCCUAAACGAUGUCAACAGCUGUUGGGGCCUUCGGGCCUUGGUAGCGCAGCUAACGCGUGAAGUUGACCGCCUGGGGAAGUACGGUCGCAAGAUUAAAACUCAAAGGAAUUGACGGGGACCCGCACAAGCGGUGGAUGAUAUGGAUUAAUUCGAUGCAACGCGAAAAGCCUUACCUACCCUUGACAUGUCUGGAAUCCCAAGAAAAGAGAUUUGGGAGUGCUCUCGCAAGAGAACCGGAACACAGGUGCUGCAUGGCUGUCGUCAGCUCGUGUCGUGAGAUGUUGGGUUGAUCACAACGAGCGCAACCCUUGUCAUUAGUUGCUACGAGGCACUCUAAUGAGACUGCCGAUGGAAACAAACCGGAGAAGAAGGUGAGAUGACAAUCAAAUCCUCAUGGCCCUUAUGGGUAAGGCUUCACACGUCAUACAAUGGUCAGGACAGAAGAGUCGCCAACCCGCGAGGGGCAAUCCCGAAACCCGAUCGUAGUCGGAUCACCGGUCUGCAACUCGACUGCGUAGAAGUCGGAAUCGCUAAAUAAUCGCGGAUCAGCAUGUCGCGAGUGAAUACGUUGGGUCUUGUACCGCCCCGUCACGCAUAGAAUUGGGUUUUACCAGAAGUAGUUAGCCUAACCGUAAGGAGGGCGAUUACCACGGUAAAGGAUUCAUGACUGGGGUGAAGUCGUAACAGAGUAG
rnacentral:rRNA from 1 species